CCGAAAUUUAAAACUCACAACGCGAGUCUCGUGCGGAAGCAAAUAUGACUGCCGAGACUUUGUGACUCUUCAAGUCUUCCUUUGCUCAAGUCAAACCACACUCGUGAAGCACAUGUGACGAGUCUGUGGUGAGCAUCGGGAGCACUGCGUUUCCUUCGGAAUUCACAGUCUAAAAAACGAAUUGUAAAAGUAUAUCACAUUAAGUAUAUAACAAAAAAGACGAAAAAAU
rnacentral:misc_RNA from 1 species